AGUGAACGCUGGCGGUAGGCUUAACACAUGCCAGUCGAACGGCAGCACAGUAAGAGCUUGCUCUUACGGGUGGCGAGUGGCGGACGGGUGAGGAAUACAUCGGAAUCUACUUUUUCGUGGGGGAUAACGUAGGGAAACUUACGCUAAUACCGCAUACGACCUACGGGUGAAAGCAGGGGAUCUUUGGACCUUGCGCGAUUGAAUGAGCCGAUGUCGGAUUAGCUAGUUGGCGGGGUAAAGGCCCACCAGGGCGACGAUCCGUAGCUGGUCUGAGAGGAGGAUCAGCCACAUGAGAGGGGAGACACGCACAGGGCUCCUGCGGGAGGCAGCAGUGGGGAAUGUUGGACAAUGGGGGCAAACCUGACCCAGCGAUACCGCGUGGGAGAAGGAGGCCUUGGGGUUGUAAAGCCCUUUUGUGGGGAAAAAAAAGCAGCCGGUUGAUACCCCGCUGUUGUGACGGUACCGAGAAAAGAAGCACCGGCUAACUACGUG
rnacentral:rRNA from 1 species